GUGGGGAAUAUUGGACAAUGGGCGAAAGCCUGAUCCAGCAAUGCCGCGUGAGUGAUGAAGGCCCUAGGGUUGUAAAGCUCUUUUACCCGGGAUGAUAAUGACAGUACCGGGAGAAUAAGCUCCGGCUAACUUCGUGCCAGCAGCCGCGGUAAUACGAGGGGAGCUAGCGUUGUUCGGAAUUACUGGGCGUAAAGCGCGCGUAGGCGGUUUUUUAAGUCAGAGGUGAAAGCCCGGGGCUCAACCCCGGAAUAGCCUUUGAAACUGGAAAACUAGAAUCUUGGAGAGGUCAGUGGAAUUCCGAGUGUAGAGGUGAAAUUCGUAGAUAUUCGGAAGAACACCAGUGGCGAAGGCGACUGACUGGACAAGUAUUGACGCUGAGGUGCGAAAGCGUGGGGAGCAAACAGGAUUAGAUACCCGGGUAGUCC
rnacentral:rRNA from 1 species